rnacentral:rRNA from 1 species
UACGGAGGAUGCGAGCGUUAUCCGGAUUUAUUGGGUUUAAAGGGUGCGUAGGCGGAAUAUCAAGUCAGCGGUAAAAAUUCGGGGCUCAACCCCGUCCGGCCGUUGAAACUGGGGGCCUUGAGUGCGCGGAAGGCAGGCGGAAUUCGUGGUGUAGCGGUGAAAUGCUUAGAUAUCACGAAGAACCCCGAUUGCGAAGGCAGCCUGCCGCAGCGUUACUGACGCUGAAGCUCGAAAGCGCGGGUAUCGAACAGG